rnacentral:misc_RNA from 1 species
UCCUGGUUAACCCAGGCAGUCUCGUUAGAGUUCCCGCCUCUACGCGUUGGCAACUAACGAUAAGGGUUGCGCUCGUUGCUGGACUUAACCAAACACCUCACGGCACGAGCUGACGACAGCCAUGCAGCACCUAUAUAAAGACCCUUUCGAGAAAUAUCAUUUCUGAUAUCGUCCUCUAUAUUUCGAGCCCAGGUAAGGUUCUUCGCGUUGCAUCGAAUUAAACCACAUGCUCCACUGCUUGUGCGGGCCCCCGUCAAUUCUUUUGAGUUUCACCCUUGCGAGCGUACUCCCCAGGCGGCAUACUUAAUGCGUUAGCUCCGGUACAGAAAGGGUUGAGCCCUCCUACACCUAGUAUGCAUCGUUUAAGGCAAGGACUAC